AUUGAACGCUGGCGGAAUGCUUUACACAUGCAAGUCGAACGGCAGCACGGGGCAACCUGGUGGCGAGUGGCGAACGGGUGAGUAAUACAUCGGAACGUGCCCAAUCGUGGGGGAUAACGUAGCGAAAGUUACGCUAAUACCGCAUACGAUCUACGGAUGAAAGCGGGGGAUCGCAAGACCUCGCGCGAAUGGAGCGGCCGAUGUCAGAUUAGGUAGUUGGUGGGGUAAAGGCUCACCAAGCCAACGAUCUGUAGCUGGUCUGAGAGGACGACCAGCCACACUGGAACUGAGACACGGUCCAGACUCCUACGGGAGGCAGCAGUGGGGAAUUUUGAACAAUGGGCGCAAGCCUGAUCCAGCCAUUCCGCGUGCAGGAUGAAAGCCUUCGGGUUGUAAACUGCUU
rnacentral:rRNA from 1 species